UACCAGCACCCCGAGUGGUCGGGACGUUAUUGGGCCUAAAGCAUCCGUAGCCGGCCUUACAAGUCCUCCGUUAAAUCCAGCUGCUUAACAGAUGGGCUGCGGAGGAUACUAUAAGACUAGGAGGCAGGAGAGGCAAGCGGUACUCAGUGGGUAGGGGUAAAAUCCGUUGAUCCAUUGAAGACCACCAGUGGCGAAGGCGGCUUGCCAGAAUGCGCUCGACGGUGAGGGAUGAAAGCUGGGGGAGCAAACCGG
rnacentral:rRNA from 1 species